CGGAGGGUGCAAGCGUUGCUCGGAAUUAUUGGGCGUAAAGGGCAGGUAGGUGGUCUCAUUUGUCUGGGGUGAAAGCCUUGAGCUUAACUCAAGAAGUGCCCCGGAAACGGUGAGACUCGAGUAUUGGAGAGGGUGGUGGAAUUCCCGGUGUAGCGGUGAAAUGCGUAGAGAUCGGGAGGAACACCAGAGGCGAAGGCGGCCACCUGGACAAUGACUGACACUCAACUGCGAAAGCGUGGGGAGCAAACAGGAUUAGAUACCCUGGUAGUCCACGCUGUAAACGAUGGGUACUAGGCUGGGCGGGUCUUGACCCCUGCCGAGCCGGAGCUAACGCACUAAGUACCCCGCCUGGGAAGUACGGUCGCAAGACUA
rnacentral:rRNA from 1 species